rnacentral:rRNA from 1 species
GAUGAACGCUGGCGGCGUGCUUAACACAUGCAAGUCGAACGGGAAACCUUUUAUUGAAGCUUCGGCAGAUUUAGCUGGUUUCUAGUGGCGGACGGGUGAGUAACGCGUGGGUAACCUGCCUUAUACAGGGGGAUAACAACCAGAAAUGGUUGCUAAUACCGCAUAAGCGCACAGGACCGCAUGGUCCGGUGUGAAAAACUCCGGUGGUAUAAGAUGGACCCGCGUUGGAUUAGCUAGUUGGCAGGGUAACGGCCUACCAAGGCGACGAUCCAUAGCCGGCCUGAGAGGGUGAACGGCCACAUUGGGUCUGAGACACGGCCCAGACUCCUACGGGAGGCAGCAGUGGGGAAUAUUGCACAAUGGGGGAAACCCUGAUGCAGCGACGCCGCGUGAAGGAAGAAGUAUCUCGGUAUGUAAACUUCUAUCAGCAGGGAAGAUAGUGACGGUACCUGACUAAGAAGCCCCGGCUAACUACGUG